UACGAAGGGUGCAAGCGUUACUCGGAAUUACUGGGCGUAAAGCGUGCGUAGGUGGUUCGUUAAGUCUGAUGUGAAAGCCCUGGGCUCAACCUGGGAAUGGCAUUGGAUACUGGCGACCUAGAGUGCGGUAGAGGGGUGUGGAAUUCCCGGUGUAGCAGUGAAAUGCGUAGAUAUCGGGAGGAACACCGGUGGCGAAGGCGGCAUCCUGGACCGGCAUUGACGCUGAGGAGCGAAAGCCAGGGGAGCAAACGGG
rnacentral:rRNA from 1 species